CGAUCCUGCGACAGAUCAUCAGCAGUUCGGCGCCUCCGUCGGGUCAAACUGCUUGUUUUCCAUUUUUUCCUUUGCAAAAAGUCCACCAUUUCCGUUAUCUGAACAGCACAGCGCGUAAAAUCUUUCCCAGGAGGAAUAGAUUACUCAUCAAUGGACUAAAUCGGAUCCACCGCCCACCACCACCGCCAGCACCGCGAGAGGAAGAAGACGGCUUCCUCCCCCAGCCGUCGUGGCGAGCUGGCGAGGGUCUACGCGGCGCUACGCCUAUGCGGACACCCGGCCGGAAAUCAGCUUCAGAUACAUUUUCGGGCCUUGCCCGGCCGCCGCGCCGGCCGUCGCCAUCGACGCCGCUUCAAACCCAUGGCUUUUUUUACGCUUUCCUCUCCAGCGGCUCCUGCUUAGUCCUUUGCCACGCCUGACCUCACGCCGCCCCCCACCCAAACCCCCCUUUAAAACCCGCCACCGUCGCCACCGACUCGCCAUCACCCGACCACAGAGAGAGCUUUAUUCCCCCGGAAAGAAAGCAGUGACGGCGAGAGGGCGGGGGCGAAGAAAGUCCGGCGAAGCGGCGGUCGCGGCGGCGGAGGAUGCCGGGCGCGGUGAAGGCCGGGAGCCGGCCGCCGUGGCUUGGGCUGGGGGCGGCCGUGUGGCUGCAGGCGUCGGCGGGGACCAGCUCCGCCUUCGCGCUCUACUCGCACGCGCUCAAGGUGGCGCUCGGCGCCGACCAGAGCCGCGUCGCGCUGCUCGGCGUCGCCUGCAACGUCGGGGACAGCCUCGGCCUCCUCCCCGGCGUCGUCUGCAACAAGCUCCACCCGGCCCUGCUCCUGCUCGUCGCCGCCGCCUCCGGCCUCCUCGGCUACGGGGUCACCUGGCUCGCCGUCUCCGGCGUCGCCCCGGCGCUGCCCUACUGGCUGAUAUGGAUCGCAUUAUGCAUGGGUUCGAACAGCGGUGCGUGGAUGUCGACCGCCGCAUUAGUAACCAACAUGAGGAACUUCCCACUCAGCAGAGGGGCUGUUGCCGGCAUCCUCAAAGGCUACUCUGGUCUGAGUGCGGCUGUAUACACUGCCAUUUACACCGGCGCGCUUCACGGCUCAGCUGCAAACCUCUUGCUUUUUCUCACCCUGGGAGUUGCCAUCGUUUGCCUUCUCGCGAUGUACUUUGUGAGGCCUUGUGAGCCUUCUCUGGUGGAGAAUUCCUCGGAGCGAGUUCACUUCCUGUUCGUACAGAUCAACAGUGCUCUUCUUGGGGUUUAUCUCGUGGUGGCCACGACGUUGGAUCGUUUUCUGACUCUCACCCCUGCUUUGAACUAUUCCUUGAUUGCUAUUAUGGUCAUUCUCAUUCUUGCACCAUUUGCGAUACCCGUGAAGAUGACAUUGUUUCGAAGCGUCCCAAGGAAAGUCACUUCUGCUGCUGCUGACAAUGAUCACACGGAACCAUUUCUUCUGCCUUCUUCCUCUGAACCAAAUUUCGGCAAAAUCAAAGAUGAGGAUGCUGCAGAUAUUGAUCUUCUCUUAGCUGAGGGUGAAGGGGCUGUGAAGCAGAAGAGAAGAAGACCAAAAAGGGGAGAGGACUUCCGGUUCCGUGAAGCUCUGCUAAAGGCAGAUUUCUGGUUGCUCUUUGCAGUGUUUUUUAUAGGUGUUGGGUCUGGAGUCACCGUUCUUAACAAUCUAGCGCAAGUUGGAACUGCAGCAGGUGUUGUUGGCACAACUAUAUCAGUCUCUCUCUUCAGUUUGGGCAACUUCUUUGGCCGCUUAGGAGGUGGUGCUGUUUCUGAUUAUUUUGUCAGGUCAAGGACACUUCCACGGACAGUACUGAUCACAUGCACCCAAGUGGUGAUGAUAAUCAACUACCUAGUCUUCGCUCUGGGUCUCAAAGCCACGCUCUACAUCUCCGUUGCCAUACUCGGCAUCUGCUACGGCGUCCAUUUCUCGGUGAUGGUGUCGACGUCAUCGGAGUUGUUUGGGCUAAAGCAGUUUGGGAAGAUCUACAACUUCAUCUUGCUGGCAAACCCGCUUGGCGCGCUCGUGUUCAGCAGCCUCGCCGGGUAUGUCUACGAUCAUGAAGCGGCAAAACAGCACAGCGUCGCAGCAGUGGCGGGCUCUGACCAUGUCAUGGUAUGCUACGGCCCCAGCUGUUUCAGGCUCACGUUCUUUGUGCUGUCAGGCAUGGCAUGCUUGGGAACGUUUCUGAGCGUGAUCCUGACCGUGAGGAUCCGACCGGUCUAUCAGAUGCUCUAUGGAGGUGGACCCUCGAGCCAGCCCAGGAACUCUGCGCAUUGAUGCCCGGUGACCGUGAUCCUACCAGUUUCUGGAGAGGAAGAAAAUACAUUCCGGUUGCUUUUGACUCCACUGCAAGUUUGUAGUUGUGAAAAUCACUGGAUGUCACACUGGCAGCCAUUCACAAUUCCUCGCAGUUGGUUUGCUCCUUGACUUCAACUCUUGAAAUGGGCUGUGUUAAGGCUACAACGAACUAAUUUGCUUGCAUGCUGGAGGCCAAGUUCUGGGACGAUGAUAAGAAGAGGUUCCAAUCGGACGCCAUCAGGAAGGACCUUGACGCACAGGUCUUCUGCAGUGGCGAUGAAGAGUGGUGGUGGUGCAUAGCUGACAGCGGUGUUUGAAUUAAUCAACUGAUGGACAGAAUUGUGUACAAUCUGGAAAUUUCAACAAGGACUACAGAGUGUGUAUCUUGAUGCACUCCGUCGCAAUGUUCAAUCUGAACAUAUGAAUAUAACAUCCAUGGAUUAUGCCAAGUUACCCCUGACCAUGGUUUCGCUAGAAACCUGUGAAAACUGGUGUACACUUUCAUUAUUUUGACUCCAUAACAUAGUGAAAAUUGGCUAGCUUUCAAAUUGUUUUCUUAAUGUGUUAUUAGGUAAUUAACGGAUAGAAAUGUAGGCUACUCCUCAUGAUGUUACUCACAGUGGAAUUUGGUUCAAUUAGGUUCCACCGUUCCAAAGCAUGUGCAUGUGCAUGUGCUGGCAUGCUUACUUGAACCAGCUAAUUGAUGAUUUUUUAUUUUAGGAUAACUUGAAUGGUAAGUUUUGUUGUCCAGGCAAAUCCUUUUUACAAUCAUUUCCAUCAAUCGUUGUUAGUGUCUUCCUUUGCGCAUGCACUGCCUUUUACAUCUAUGAUGCAUAUUGCUUGCAUGCUUACGUGAACCAACUCAUUGUAUUUUUGUUAAAGGUCAGCGAUUACCAUUAUGUGCUUGUAAUAGUAGUUCAUUCUGAUAUUAACAAUCUUCACUGAUGUGAAAUUAAUGCAUCUCAUUAGAAUGUUUGAAGAUUGCAGUUUGUGGGAAAUCACAAGUACUGAGCUUAUCAACUGUUUUUAUGUACCCCAUUGCUGUUCAUUCAUAUAUUACAUUGAUGUACUUUAAGUGGUGAGGAAUUUCAAAUUUGAAUUAAAACCACAACAAGAAUUAUGGAACGUAGGGAGUAACUAAUAGCGAUAUAAUUGUUGCACUGCUACCUGGCUUGGUUAACCAAACUACUAACUAGUCUCGGUAAGGAUUUAUUUUUUGGGGGUCGUCUGUCUGCAAUGCAUAGCUUCUAUGUCCAUCAUUUGGCCUGCAUCUGCAUAUAUCUGUUCUUUUUCCCAAUUGCAUUGUCAUUAUCUUCCAUUGUCAUUUGGCCUGCAUCGGCAACAUUUCGACCAGAAAUUUGGAACUUUUUAACCAGAGAUUUGGAACCGCAUAGUGCCAUGGAUAAUACGGGAAAUGAGGACGAUUGCAUUUCUUAGCUGAUACAUGAUACAAGUGCUUAUAAUGUUAUCCUAUUUGAGGGAC